AGAUGUGGUCUGUUUAUUUACCAGCUUUUAAAUUUGGAAAACCAAAUAGCGUCUGUUCUGUUUGAUUCAAUUUCGUAUGAUUGAGUGGUUGGCUAAGUGUAGAUAAACUAAUUGCCAGACCGUUCAACGGGUUUUCCAAAUUAUUGGACCGAAGAAAACACUAGGGAUCCCCACUGUCAACUGUUAAAUUAUAAAGAUAUCUGGGACAACAGAAGAUGGUCACACACCUAUGGCUGAUGCUUGCAAUGUUUGUUUAUCUGGGGGCAGCUUCUAAUGAUUUCAACGAAGCUCUGAAGCAGAGGUUUAAAAGAGCGACACAUCCUGGAAUACUAAUGGAGAAAAAAGAAGCAUUAGGUUUCCUACAUCACAGGGUAAAGAGAGGACUGGGUGAAGAGUGUAAUGAAGGCUGUUCCUGGGAAGAAGUCAUCGAGGUCUAUGAACCCAAC